GUCCAAAGGUGCAGCUCCAUGACACUGCAUAUCAGAACCACAAAGGAAUUAAUUUUGAGAAUUGCAGCCAAAAAUUAUUAAAGAGGUGAGGUUGACAUAUAUGCAUCUGGGUGACAGAUCAUACAUGGAGUGUAACUCCACAACCAACCAUCAGUGGUAAAGCUCCAGUGCUAACUCGCUGAAGAUGUGCUUGAAGCUGGUUUGAGGGUUCUGACAUAUUGGAUAGAAUUUAUUGUGCAUCCCUGCUCCAAAAAAUCAACCAUAAUCACAACCUCUGCAUCUCAGAAUACUGUAGCCAUACUUUCUCUGCCGAUCACACAGUUUUGACCUUUUUCUUCUUUGGUGAGCUCCGUGAUGCCAUUCCACUGACUAUCUCUUUGA